GAUCAGGUAAGCUAAAUAAAAUAAGCUAUUGGGCUCAUACCCCAAAGAUGGAUGUUCCCUUGAUUU
rnacentral:tRNA from 1 species